rnacentral:misc_RNA from 1 species
GAUGAAGAACGUAGCGAAAUGCGAUAAGUAAUGUGAAUUGCAGAAUUCAGUGAAUCAUCGAGUCUUUGAACGCACAUUGCGCCCCCUGGUAUUCCGGGGGGCAUGCCUGUCCGAGCGUCAUUGCUGCCCUCAAGCACGGCUUGUGUGUUGGGCCCCGUCCCCUCCCCGGGGACGGGCCCGAAAGGCAGCGGCGGCACCGCGUCCGAUCCUCGAGCGUAUGGGGCUUUGUCACCCGCUCUGUAGGCCCGGCCGGCGCCAGCCGACACCCAACUUUUAUUUCUAAGGUUGACCUCGGAUCAGGUAGGGAUACCCGCUGAACUUAAGCAUAUCAAUAAGCGGAGGA